GUCUAACAUAUGUGCAAGUCAUUGAGUUAUAUUAAACUUAAUGGCAUAAUUAACUUAACUUAUAUAUAAUGGGAUUAAUUUUUAGUCUAUUUUUUUAAAUAGUCAAUUAAUUCAAUCCCGGGGCGUUCCAUAUAGUUAUGUAUAAUAAUAAUUUAUUAUUAUUUAUACCUCUAACUGGAGCGUACCUUGAGCAUAUAUGCUGUGACCCGAAAGAUGGUGAACUAUACUUGAUCAGGUUGAAGUCAGGGGAAACCCUGAUGGAAGACCGAAACAGUUCUGACGUGCAAAUCGAUUGUCAGAAUUGAGUAUAGGGGCGAAAGACCAAUCGAACCAUCUA
rnacentral:rRNA from 1 species